CCUGCGGGAAGUAAGGGGGACCACCCCCUAAGGCUAAAUACCACUUAGUGACCGAUAGCGCAUAGUACUGUGAAGGAAAGGUGAAAAGGACCCCGGGAGGGGAGUGAAAGAGAACCUGAAACCCUGUGUCUACAAGCUGUGGGAGUGCUUUAUAUGCACGACCGCGUACUUUUUGUAGAACGGUCCGGCGAGUUGCGCUCACUGGCAAGGUUAAGCACCGAAGGUGCGGAGCCGUAGGGAAACCAAGUCUUAAGAGGGCCAGAGUCAGUGGGGGCAGACCCGAAACCGGGUGAUCUAUCCAUGUCCAGGUUGAAGCUGCCGUAAGAGGCAGUGGAGGACCGAACCCACAUCCGUUGAAAAGGGUGGGGAUGAGGUGUGGAUAGGGGAGAAAUUCCAAUCGAACCCGGAGAUAGCUGGUUCUCCUCGAAAUAGCUUUAGGGCUAGCCUUGGUAGAGAUUUGCGGAGGUAGAGCACUGAAUUUCCUAGGGGGCGUCAAAGCCUACCGAAGAAUAUCAAACUCCGAAUGCCGUGUAAUUGCUUACCAGGAGUCAGACUGCACGAGAUAAGUUGGGCAGUCAAAAGGGAAAGAGCCCAGACCUUCAGUUAAGGUCCCAAAGUGUGCGUUAAGUGGAAAAGGAUGUGGGAUUUCGAAGACAACCAGGAUGUUGGCUCAGAAGCAGCCAUUCAUUCAAAGAGUGCGUAAUAGCUCACUGGUCGAGAGGUCCUGCGCCGAAAAUGUCCGGGGCUGAAACGCACCACCGAAACUAAGGGAUCCGUAAGGAUCGGUAGAGGAGCAUUGCAUGCGGGAUGAAGCAGUACCGUAAGGAGCUGUGGACUGCAUGGAAGAGAGAAUGCCGGAAUGAGUAGCGAGAUAGAGGUGAGAAUCCUCUAGGCCGAAUAUCCAAGGUUUCCAGGGUAAAGCUGAUCUGCCUGGGUAAGUCGGGGCCUAAGGUGAGGACGAGAGUCGUAGCCGAUGGACAACAGGUGGAGAUUCCUGUACUAUGAUAUGACAGAACUGUGGGGACACGUGCAGAGAGCGGAAGCCGGGAAUGGGAUCCCGGUGCAAGCGAGGUACCAGCCGCAUUGGAAAAACCGUGCGGCAAUGGGAAGACGUGAUGCGGAGUGAAGUUUAGUAAUGAAGUCCGUGAGCUGUGCGUCAAGAAAAGCCGCUAUUGUUCAUACCAUACCCGUACCGUAAACCGACACA
rnacentral:rRNA from 1 species